AAAAGUGAUGCUAAAGUGGUGGAGAAAGGGUUUUCUAGAAGUGGGAUGAUAGGAGAAGUGAGAAAAGUGCUUAAAAGAGUGUUUGAAAGUGAAAGAGAGGUUGGGGAUGUUAAAGUAGACGUUUGGGCGAGCCCUAAGGUGUAUAAAAUUCAUGCAAUGGGUCAAGAAACAAAGACCAAAUUUAAAAAAACACUUUGACCCUUCAGCGUCGCCAUCGCUCAGUAGUGAGUUCACCGCCCAAGGGUAGGCGCGAUUUGGCUUUUCACCCUUUUUGCUUUGCUUCAAACGUCUUUGACCCUGUACACCUCAAGUUCAACUUUCAAAUUUUAAUUUUCAUGCAAUUCCCACUCACUCUACUCACUUAUGCAACACUUAAGCCCUAAAUGCAACUAGAACAUAAUUAGAACAUGCAAAGGAAACAAAUCAAUCAACUGGGUUGCCUCCCAGGUAGCGCUUGUUUAACGUCACGAGCCUGACCCAAAAUCUUUCUAGCAUCCAUCAAUAGGUGCAAACCUUAUCAUCACCCAUCAGUAGGUGUACCUUCUUGUAUCCUUCAGUAGAUACAUAAUCGUCUAGCAUCCCUUAGUAGAUGUUAUCCUGGUGGCAUUCAUCAGUAAAUGAUGUUAGUGACAUCCAUCAGUAGAUGUCUAAUCAUAUAACAUCCAUUCGUAGGUGCUAAUCUUUCUUAACAUCCUUUAGUAGAUGUCAUCUCUGCUAUCAGAAGAAGCAUAUAACCUAAAAAAUAAAAUAUAAUAUAAUAUAAUAAGAUAAAAUCAAAUCAAAUCAAAUCAAAUCAAAUCAAAUCAAAUCAAUUUAAACAAAAUAAAAGAUAAAAAAAAUUCAGAAAUUGGGUUGCCUCCCAGCAAGUGCUCUUUUAACGCCAUUAGCUUGACCCGGUAAAGCCCAAACACCCAUCACUAGGUGUUGAUAUUUUAUGUUGGCGUUCUUCCUUCCUCCAUGACACCAACAACAUCUCAAAAAUUUCCUUGUUGCCAACUCUAAGGAUCCUCAAUCUCAAGACCUCUGUUUGCUUUGAUAGUCUUCACAACCCAUAACCUAUUCUCGAAUUUUACUGAUAUUCCAGGUUUAGGUUUGUCACUUUUCACAUCAGGGUGUUGGUGAACCAAUUCUCCUUUCUUAUCUGCUACCUAAUGAUCUUGUGCUCCUGG
rnacentral:lncRNA from 1 species